rnacentral:tRNA from 1 species
GGAGACGUGGCUGAGUGGUUGAAAGCGGCACCGUGCUAAGGUGUUAAGGGAGCAAUCCCUUCGGAGGUUCGAAUCCUCCCGUCUCCG